rnacentral:rRNA from 1 species
GACGAACGCUGGCGGCGUGCCUAAUACAUGCAAGUAGAACGCUGAAGGAGGAGCUUGCUUCUCUGGAUGAGUUGCGAACGGGUGAGUAACGCGUAGGUAACCUGCCUGGUAGCGGGGGAUAACUAUUGGAAACGAUAGCUAAUACCGCAUAAUAUUGACUAUUGCAUGAUAGUCAGUUGAAAGGUGCAACUGCACCACUACCAGAUGGACCUGCGUUGUAUUAGCUAGUUGGUGGGGUAACGGCUCACCAAGGCGACGAUACAUAGCCCGCCUGAGAGGGGGAUCGGCCACACUGGGACUGGGACCCGGCCCAGAAUCCCUAGGGAGGCAGCAGGAGGGGAACUUCGGCAAUGGACGGAAGUCUGACCGAGGAAAGCCGCGUGAGUGAAGAAGGUUUUCGGAUCGUAAAGCUCUUUUGUAAGAGAAGAAAGAGUGUGGGAGUGGAAAGCUCACACUGUGACGGUAUCUUACCAGAAAGAGACGGCUAACUACGUG